GGAAGCCCUGUCCGUCAGCAGACAUCACUGCCUCCACCACCUGAAUCAACUUUUCCUGACAACCCUUGGAGGUUCGACCGGAGGUACUGCCAUCCGUCGCAUGCUACUGCGAGUGGGAAUCAAUGAC